rnacentral:misc_RNA from 1 species
UGCAUGAGCCGCUUUCGCGCU